ACAUCGUUGGUUAUUACAGAGUUGGAUUUGUGUUGAUUUAAGAGAGAAAAGUGAGAGAAUGAGGUGACAGAAAGAGAAGAGAAGAGUGAGAGAAUGAGGUGACAGAAAGAGAAGAGUGAGAGAAUGAGGUGACAGAAAGAGAAGAGGGAGAGAAUGAGGUGACAGAAAGAGAAGAGGGAGAGAAUGAGGUGACAGAAAGAGAAGAGGGAGAGAAUGAGGUGACAGAAAGAGAAGAGGGAGAGAAUGAGGUGGCAGAAAGAGAAGAGGGAGAGAAUGAGGUGACAGACAGAGAAGAGGGAGAGAAUGAGGUGGCAGAAAGAGAAGAGGGAGAGAAUGAGGUGACAGACAGAGAAGAGGGAGAGAAUGAGGUGACAGACAGAGAAGAGGGAGAGAAUGAGGUGACAGAAAGAGAAGAGGGAGAGAAUGAGGUGACAGAAAGAGAGAGGGAGAGAAUGAGGUGACAGAAAGAGAAGAGGGAGAGAAUGAGGUGACAGAAAGAGAAGAGAAGAGAAUGAGGUGACAGACAGAGAGAGGGAGAGAAUGAGGUGACAGAAAGAAAAGAGUGAGAGAAGAAAAAUAUUUCAAGACAUGAGAGCAAAGCCAGCGCUGCAUGUUUCAUAUUCGUUUAGUUGAUUUUCAUUUCCUCCUCUCACCUCUCUCUCCUCAACCCCUCUCUCCUCAACCCCUCU
ensembl:lncRNA